rfam:Parcubacteria bacterium GW2011_GWA1_49_11 TY36_C0002, whole genome shotgun sequence.
GGGGAUGAAAGGCCUCGACACUGGUUCUUUCGAUAAUUGACUCUAAGCGUGGAUGGCCGUAAACCACGUAAAACCUCGACCAAAAUUGUAACUGGCAAUCAAAAUACCAAUUACGCUUUCGCUUAACUUUGUUAAGCGAACAUCCCGCUUAGCGGGAUAAGCCACCCGACUUCGAUACUCGCUAGAAGAUCAUUGGGUGUCAUUAGCGAGAUAUAACAAAGAAUGUUGUUCUUCCGUUCUUUGCCGAAAAAUUGUAAGAGCUAGCGCGUGUUUAUUCUGUUGAUCUCUUAAGCCAGCGCGAAAUAUCAGAUCAAAUAUCUUAGUAGUAGUCGUUGUCGUAAACCUCUGGACGUGGUUUCAAUACCACCAUCUCCACCA